rnacentral:rRNA from 1 species
GAUGAACGCUGGCGGCGUGCCUAAUACAUGCAAGUCGAGCGAACGGACGAGAAGCUUGCUUCUCUGAUGUUAGCGGCGGACGGGUGAGUAACACGUGGAUAACCUACCUAUAUGACUGGGAUAACUUCGGGAAACCGGAGCUAAUACCGGAUAAUAUUUUGAACCGCAUGGUUCAAAAGUGAAAGACGGCCUUGCUGUCACUUAUAGAUGGUUCCGCGCUGCAUUAGCUAGUUGGUAAGGUAACGGCUUACCAAGGCAACGAUGCAUAGCCGACCUGAGAGGAUGAUCGGCCACACUGGAACUGAGACACGGUCCAGACUCCUACGGGAGGCAGCAGUGGGGAAUCUUCCGCAAUGGGCGAAAGCCUGACGGAGCAACGCCGCGUGAGUGAUGAAGGUCUUCGGAUCGUAAAACUCUGUUAUUAGGGAAGAACAUAUGUGUGAGUAACUGUGCACAUCUUGACGGUACCUAAUCAAAAAGCCACGGCUAACUACGUG